CCCCUCGAAGAUGAAGAAUUGGUCACCUACAUGUUGUGUGGCCUUGGCAGCGAGUACACGCCCUGGUGACGAGCAUCACUACACGUGCAGACUCGUACACUGUUAGUGAUGUCUAUGCACACAUGUAAUGUUUUGAGA